UACAGAGGGUGCAAGCGUUAAUCGGAUUUACUGGGCGUAAAGCGUGCGUAGGUGGCCAAUUAAGUCAAAUGUGAAAUCCCCGAGCUUACCUUGGGAAUUGCAUUCGAUACUGGUUGGCUAGAGUAUGGGAGAGGAUGGUAGAAUUCCAGGUGUAGCGGUGAAAUGCGUAGAGAUCUGGAGGAAUACCGAUGGCGAAGGCAGCCAUCUGGCCUAAUACUGACACUGAGGUACGAAAGCAUGGGGAGCAAACAGG
rnacentral:rRNA from 1 species